GGAUGUGAGGGUGAUCUGGCUGCGACAUCUGUCACCCCAUUGAUCACCAGGGUUGAUUCGGCUGAUCUGGCUGGCUAGGCAGGUGUCCCCUUCCUUUCUCACCACUCCAUGUGUGUCCCUCCUGAAGCUGCGCGCUCGGUUGAAGAGGACGACCUUCCCCGGAUAGAGGAGGACCAGUCUUUGGUCAAGGGUAUACGAGUAGCUGCGCUCCCCUGCUAGAACCUCCAAAAAGCUCUCAAGAAAAUCAGAACUCAAACUGAAAUCAUACCUCAAAAAAGAGAUGGACAAGAUACAAAAUA
rnacentral:snRNA from 1 species